rnacentral:lncRNA from 1 species
CCUGCCUCUGUGCAUGCAUCUGUCCAUCCAUCCCUGCCUCUGUGCAUGCAUCUGUCCAUUCAUCCCUGCCUCUGUGCAUGCAUCUGUCCAUCCAUCCAUCCCCGCCUCUGUGCAUGCAUCUGUCCAUCCAUCCCUGCCUCUGUGCAUGCAUCUGUCCAUUCAUCCCUGCCUCUGUGCAUGCAUCUGUCCAUCCAUCCAUCCCUGCCUCUGUGCAUGCAUCUGUCCAUUCAUCCCUGCCUCUGUGCAUGCAUCUGUCCAUCCAUCCAUCCCUGCCUCUGUGCAUGCAUCUGUCCAUUCAUCCCUGCCUCUGUGUAUGCAUCUGUCCAUCCAUCCAUCCCCACCUCUGUGCAUGCAUCUGUCCAUCCAUCCCCGCCUCUGUGCAUGCAUCUGUCCGUCCAUCCAUCCCUGCCUCUGUGCAUGCAUCUGUCCGUCCAUUCAUCCCUGCCUCUGUGCAUGCAUCUGUCCAUUCAUCCAUCCCUGACUCUGUGCAUGCAUCUGUCCAUCCAUCCAUCCUUGCCUCUAUGCAUGCAUUUGUCCGUCCAUCCAUCCCUGCCUCUGUGCAUGCAUCCAUACCUGCCUCUGUGCAUGCAUCUGUCAGUCUAUCAAUCCCCGAUCCCUUCUUUGUAAUGGUGUUGAGCGCUCACAACUCCCUCAUCCUAAGACGCUCGUUGGAUCCAUUCCCUCCCCUCACCCCAUGCUGCUCUCUGCCCUCCCUUCCCGGUCAAGUUCUCCAGCCAGUGGUCUCAACUCAAUCUUCACUUCCCCCGCUCCUCUCACACCUAUCCCCACUGCAUUCUAAAUUCUUCCCCAACGCGCUGGGCCUACAGGCACUAAAAAGGUCACUUUGUCCCUGGAUGACCAAACACAGGCCAAUGUAACUUACUGGGCUUGUUUUGCCCCAGCCACAGCUGACCACUUCCUCCUUCACUCUUGUUGUUGAUCACCUUUGGGCUUAGUCUUUCUCCAUCUCUGUUGAGUCCUUCUCCCCUGCCACCUACUCCUUCAUGCUGGGGUUCUCUGUAGCUCUGUACCUGACAGUCACGUUCCACCCUUUCCUCCCAGAAGCUCGCCAACCCCCGUGGACUGCUGGCUCUCAAGGCGGCCGCUAGCCCAGCUCCGACAGCAGCUGACAAUGCACAGUAUGCGGCCCAGGGCAGGCCCUGUGCUGAGAGGCAUGGGUGAAUGGCUCAUUUCAUCGGCAAGCCCACGCCACCAGCAGGCGCCGUUCUCCUCGCAUUUCU